UCUGGUUUCUUGCUUCCUAAAAGCAAGUGGUGCGGAUGGAGGAAACUCCCGUCCUGUUUCUUACUUCAGGAUAAAAAGUAAGUGGCGUGCAUGGCA
rnacentral:ncRNA from 1 species